UGCAACAGCACAGUCUACCCCUAUGUUUACAACCUGACUUCCUCCUACAUCGACCAGAACAAUGAGGCCACCAUGGUGACCACCACCUUGGCCAUGUUCAUGCUGGCCGUGUUCUUCUUCAACCUCAACCUCUUCAGCCGCUUCUCCGACGUGAGCGCGAUUCUCAACCCUAGCGUCCGCCUCUUCCUCUCCACCUCCCUGUCCCUCUUCCUGCCGGUCAUGUCCUACCUCUUCUCCGAGGCCAAGAACCAAGGUGCAACGACCAUGGCUGCUACUACUAGCAGUAGCUCCAGUUAUGGCGAGCUCGGCGACGAGCUGUCGCUUCGAGCUAGGACGAUCCUCAUGUGGAUGCUUCUUGUGGAGCUCCUCCGCAAGAAGGUGGAGGCCGUCCUGGUCAGCGUGGGCAUGCAGUGGUACUCAGGCGCCAUCGAUCGCUUCGCCCGCAUCGUUUGGCUCGGCUACCUCGUCUUCUACAAUGUCAAAAGCCCCGGCAAGAAGGCGAUCUAUGGCACCUUAUGGGUCCUCACUGCUGCCAAGUUCCUGCAAAGGGUCGUCGUCAAGAUGGUGCUGGAGCGUUCCUUCGCCUACGGAAGGAACACCCAGCUGCUCAACUCAUACAUGGCCCAGAUCAUCCAACAAGAGCAAGAGCAAGAGCAAGAGGAGCACUCGGGAUCAUCGUCGUCGGCGGAGCUGUUGAAGAAGUGCGAGUACACCGUGAUGGGAGAAGAAAAUCUGGAGAGGACGGCUGGCCGGCAUGGCUACCAGGUGGAGCUGAACAAGGCGGCCGUUGUCACCGUUGGUGACAUUUGGACGCAGGCAGCAGCCGAGCCGGACAGCCUCCUCCGGAGAGAACACCUUAGAAGGCUCUGCCUCUCCUUUGCUCUCUACAAGCUGCUGCGCCGGAGGUUCGAGGACAUCCCCACAACAAGAGAGGAGACCCGGAACUGCCGGAACCUCAUCUUCAAGGGCUUGUUGAAGGAGCAAGAAGGUGCCGAGGUCGCACUGUUCCAAGUCUUCAACGAUGAGACCCAGUUCGUUUGCGAGUACUACCAUUCCGUCCUACCCGUCGUCUUGUCCGACCCUUUCUUCUUCCUGGUCAACUACAUCCUGUUUCCCAUUGUAGUUUCUGCCUUCUGCCUCCUAACACUGAUCAUCUGCGGCAAUGGGAGCGUCCGCUACGCCUACCAGAGCAUCACAAGUGACAACUACAUCAUAUACACUGGCGCGACGACGCUGACCAGAUGCCUCCUGAGAAACAUCGCCCAUUCACCCGAGGUGCUGUUCGCCAGCAUCGACCUAGGCACCACCACUCUGCUCAUCCUGGCCUUCGUCUACGAGGAAGUCGUGGAGGUCCUCGUCUUUAUCCUCUCCAAUUGGCUCAUCGUGUCGCUCCUCUGUCAGUACACCGCCAAGCGCCACUGGCGGCAGAGCCGCAUGGUAUGUUGGCUCAUCCGCGGCAUCCUGUGGGUGCGAAGCAUGCUAAGCCACCCUAACCUCAGCUUCAAGCAGCUCUCCGUGCUAAGGUUCUUCCAACUGUCGUCGCCUUCGCCGAUCAUGGUGCCAACCAAGGCAGUGCCCAAGGAAGUGAUGGAGUCGAUCGUGGAUUAUCUGGUGGUUCACUUGGAUGUCUACGGCAUCGAUGGCCAUGACGACCCUCUCAAUUCGGCCUGGUCCUCCACACUGCAACAGGAGAAGCACAGGGCAUACCGUCCCCUGCUCUUGCCGGUGUGUGAGAGCAAGAGCAUCGCUGAGUUCAUCCUCACCUGUCACAUUGCCACCGCCCUAAUGGAGGUGAGGUACCCGCAGGACGAAAAGGAAAUGGGAUCUCAUCGCAAGGUGGCGACGACGCUGUCCAAGUACUGCACUUACUUGGUGGGCUUUUACCCAGGGCUUCUUCCGGACGACAAGAAUGGGACAAAGCACACUUACAAGAAGAUGAAGGAGGACAUGAACAAGGAGCUUGGAGGGUGCUGGUGGUACCACCUGUCGCUGCAGGGAACCAGGUACAAGAGGCUGAUGGAGAUCGGCGAAUCGAAGCAGAAGGCCGUGACAAUGGUGCGCAACGGGGCCAGGUUAGGGACAGCACUGAUCGAGAAGGCCGAGGAGAACAACGAGGCGCGUGAUCGCGUGUGGGAGCUGCUGAACGACCUUUGGACGGAGGUCAUGGUGUAUGUGGCGCCGUCGGCCGGCGACCUCCACGUGAAAGCCCACAAGGAGGCGCUGGCGCGCGGCGGUGAGUUCAUCACCGUGCUUUGGGUGCUGUGUACGCACACCGGCAUGACCAGGCCAGCCCUCGCACCGUGGGAGGUAGCACGUCAUGCGUUUGAACCAUAGAGCAUUAUUGGCUUCCCGUGUGUGCCGAUCUUUCGAGGACAGCUUGCUUGGGAUGGUUCAUCUCACAUGCUCCAUUCCGCUACUAACGCUAACAUUAGUACCGCGUCAUAAUGUGACCGGUACUAAGGGAGUGGACGAAAGAUAUAUUAAAAAUAGAUAUAUAGCCACCCGUUGUGAAUGCAUGGGUUGAUGCCAGUAAUUCCUAGAAAACGAGGCCAACCACAACCUCUUCAUCCACUUCUCCGACGUGAGCGCACAAUUCUCAACACUAGUAAGAAACAGAGCUUUAGUCCCGGUUUUUUAGUCCCGGUUGGUAAGGAUCAUAGAUCCCAAAAAUCCAAUCGAGACUAACUAUUCAAGGCUAAAUGACUCCUUUAGUCCCGGGUCAUUCACCUGGGACUAAAGGUGCCCUUUAGUUCCGGUUGGUGUUACCAAGCGAGACUAAAAAAAUUCCAAAAAAAAUAAAAAAAGCCAUCCGCGCCCGCCGCCCGCCUGCCUCCCACGGCCGCGCUGGCCUCAUGCUGCCCGCCCGCGCCCACGCCGACCACGUGCUACGACCCGCCCGCACCCACCCGACCGACCGCCCGCGUCGGAGCAUGGAAGAAAGGGAGAGGAGGAAGAAGAAGAGAUAAGGUGGAGAGGCCCUGCGUGGGAGAUAAGAAAGGGAGGGGAGGAGAUAAGUGGAGAGAAAGGGAGGCGACGAGAUUUUGUCUUGGUUGGAAUUUCCAACCGCGACAAAAGAUUUACUUCCGGUUGGAAUUUCCAACCGGGAUAAGGGUGGCGUCGAUGUCAGAUUUUUUAGCUGUUAGAACCAAGCCUACAACCGUGACUAAAGCCCCUUCAGUCGGUGGCCUUUGGUGCCUCAUACCUGGGACUAAAGUCACUUUAGUUCCGAGUCCAAAGUCAACCAAGAUAAAAGCAUCAAGAUGGAAGGUCAGUUCUCUAGUAUUGCAAGCCUAGUGUCUGCCACCUCCUCUCCACCAACAUGUCCCUCUUUCUGCAUGUAACACUUUCACACAUGCAUGUAACUUGAUUAAUCUUCUCAUGCGUGUUCACAACAAACGCAUGGAUGAAAAACAUGUCAAGAUUAAUUUCCAACACUUUUUUCUUCUAUAGAUAGUUUCCACUAAGUGGUUCACCACAUAAUAAAAUUUAGAUACUUGUCUCUGCAUAUCAUCGAUCAAUGUUGUUAGAGGGAUACAACAUUAUCAUUGUGUACAUCAUAUCAAUGACCGAACUUCAACUAUUAUAGAUACUGUUAUACUGUUAGCAAUGCAUAUAUCUCAAAUAUUAUUGCUUCUCUUUAAUUAGCUAAAGAAUAGGAUGCUAGAAUGAAAACGUCAAAAGAAAAAACAUAAUGAUGAAGGCAUCAGGUCCUCUCUUUUGGGGGCCAAGAUUCCUGCUGAUAUUGAUAACAAAAGAAGGAUACCAUGGGUUCUCUCCCAUUUGGAACUAUAUGUGACAAAAGUUAUGCCAGUACCUUAAAUGCUAAGGCUUGCUCAUCUUUUGAAUUUUUGUUCUUUGGCGGCCCCUGUCAUUUGAGCCUUUUGAUAAAGUAAAGGAGAGGAGAAUAAGCGCUAAAGGAAAGACCAACUGCUAUGGUGUUACCCGAACACCAUUGGCGGCAUCUUUCGAUUUACAGUACAUGCAGGCACGCCAAUACUCUCCUUCAAUCGUGUGCUUGCAGAACCUAUGAAAACGAUGCUCAUGCUUUGCAAGGGCACGGAAAUUUCGACUCAGAACGUGUCCAGAGGAAAUGGGCCCACUCGUAUGAUUCAUGGGAACAUGAACAAACAGAGACGUUCAGAUUCAGAAGUAUGGAAUUUGCAAGUCCCCGCAACCCACCGCCCCCACGUUGCUCCCGCAUGAGUGACACUGGUGGACGAAACCCUCGCCGCUGCCGCCCCUUCCUCCCUCUCCCCACCGCUGUGCCACCGCCCAAGCCGGCCGCUGAAAGCCUACGCGUCUCAUGAGGACGGCGGCGGUGGGGCGGCCUGCUUCUCCCCUUGAUCUCCUGGUGGGCGUGGCCGCUGUGGAGGUCAGAGGGAGUCGCCCGUAGGGCGACACACGGCCGUGACAGCGAGGCCGGAUCCGGGGCCCCUGUGGCCGGAUCCGGGGCCCUCGAUGCCGGAUCUGUCUCCAAGUGCGGUGGCGGUGGCUUCCCCCACGCGGGGCAGUGGUCACCCUGCCCGGUGCGGAAGCUGCACGAGCGGUGUGCGCCAGGGUGGAUGCCGCGCGGUGGCGGCUGCGUGGGCCAAGGCUGAGCAAGGGGCGAAGUGGGCGGCCGCGGUCCUAUGGCAAGGUGGGGUCAACGUGCAGGCCUCCUUCGAUGACUACCUCCAGGACCGCACCAUGUUCCCCGACGAGAGCAAGAGCCAGCGGAUCAGUGAUGGGGAGUGGCGGGUCCAGAUGCUGCUGCUGCAAUUCCUCCUCGUCACAGUGCGCCCUGUGGUCAUCAUGCAGCUGCAACACCGCACUGGUGGGCUCGACCCCAGUGGCGACAUCUGCAGUCCUCGGCGGUGAGCUCCUAGGGAGCGGUGACAGUGUGAAGGCGACAACGGCGAUCUGGGUGGUGCGGCGGUGGUCCCGAUGCGAGGCAAAGAAGGCACAUGGUAGCAGGGGCCGCUAGGAGGUGGGGACACGGAGGAGGCGCCGAAGGACAAGACGAGGAGGAGGUGUCGGGCAUACACCUCAGGGCCACGAGUAGGCCUUGUACGGCCCACCCAGGGGCGUACUCGGACAUGAGCAGGAGUUGGAAGCUAUGUCACAGGGUAACGUAGCCUACACGGACUACUGAAGACUAGUCUUGGUGCAUAAGGAAACUACUCUACCUAGUUGGAGUAGGACUCUGUAAUCAUAAUCGACUAGGAUUCCACCCUGUAACCCUGCUCCCCCGAUAUAUAAGGGUAGGCAGGGACCCCCUCCAAAGAACCAACUCAUACGCAAUACAAACAUCACACAAGACGUAGGGUAUUACGCGUUCUAGCGGCCCAAACCUGUCUAAAUCGUGUGCCUUGCAUCACCAUCAACUCCUUGAUUCUCGACGUCUCCACCACACAAAAUACCUCCUAGAGGACUCCCUAAGCGGGUUGCCGGUCUAAAACACCAACAGCUGGCGCACCAGGUAGGGGAAGUCGCCGAGUUUCUUAGCGCGAGAUCGAUGGCACCAAUUGUCAUCAAGCCAGCGCUCGCUUUCAAAGCAGGCGCAACUUUCAUCUUCGACUCCUGGCUUUGCAUCACCAACGGCGCCGGAUCCUUCCAGUGCUACCUCAUCGACAACCGGGAGAAAGAGCAUCUCAACGAAAACCCUCUUCGUAAAGAAGCAGACAGCCUCAUCGAGAAAAUCGACAAAUUCAAUCUCAGAUCAAGAUUCGACUACAACUCGAAGUCCAACGACGACUCCGAGUUCGACUACAACUCGAAGUCUGACUAUGACUCCAUUUUUAGUUUCGAGUUCAACCCCAACUUGGGGUCCAACUACAACUCCAAAUCAUAUCCAGGUCAAACUCCAUUCGGACUCCACAACGCAGCCACGGUCCAUCACUCCUUACUCGAAUCCAAUUCGGACUAGAGUCGAAGGAAGACUAUGCUACGACUCGGAUACACCCGAAGAGUUCAUCAGCAACUGCCACAGCUUCGUCGAUGACGACUUCCACGGGCGGCUCGCCGGUGACUUCUCCGACUACGUCGCGGCGCUCACUUAUGACUAUGGGCGGCUUGCUAACAAUUUCUUGGACUAUGUCAUGGUACUCGCCGACGACUACUUCAACAGGUGGCUCACCGGUGACUUCUCUGACUACGUCGUGGUGCUCACUGAUGAGUACGGGCGGCUCACCGACAAUUUCUCAGACUACGUCAUGGCACUCACCGACGACUACUUCGCUUGGCGACACACCGACGAAAACUUUGUCUGCUCACUGACGACUUCUCCGACUACGACACAGCGCUGGCUGACGACUAUGGGCGGCUCGCCGAUGAUUUCUCGGACUACAUCGUGGCACUCGACGACGGCUACUUCGACGGACGGCUCCCCGACGACUAAUCCGACUUUGCGACGUCCCUCGGCGACCCACCGAUGACUACUUCAACUUCGCGCGGGCGCUCGACAACUCGUUGAUGGCUACUUCGCUCGGCGCACACCAACGAAUACUUCGACUGCUCACCGACGACUUCUUCGACUACGUUGCGAUGCUCGUCAACGACUACUUCGACGGGUGACUCGCUAGUGACUACGUCGACUACUUGUCCCGACUAGAAAACUAGUCGGGGCAGAUUUCGCACCAUCAACGACUGGUCGGAACCGACUCCGACUAGUCAGCUUCGUCAACAACCGUCAUGGUUUCAUUGACGACCACCUUGGCUUCAUCGACAAUCAUCGACGAAUCAAGCUAAGUCUCUUUUCUGACAAUUUCCUAGCUUGAUUUCCUCUUGCGCACAAUACGCGCUCUACUCGCUAGAGGGCAGCAAACUCUCGCGCACAACACGCACUCUACUCACCGGAGGGCAGCAAAACUCUUGUGCAAUCGUGCUUGCUUUUUGUCGCAGCAGCGACUACUCACUUUUGUCUUCUCUUAAGAUCACUACUCUUCUCAAGAUGAACUUGCCUUGACACGUGAACGCCUCAGGUGCACCUGUGACGCCAAAUGCUAGCACACAUACACGAGACCACGCUCUUAGUUGUGCACAUAGCAAUGCCCAUACAUGUAUAUGAGACAACGCUCUCACACAUGCAAUGGCUACGGCUAAAUGGGGACUAAGAGCCUAAACGUAAUAGGCUAAAUGCUCGAGAAGAAUAUGAUCAAAAUAAGAGCAUGACACACAAUAUUUCAUAUUGAUCACUGAAUAACUUUCAGUAGUUUCAAUAUUCUACAAAAAUGCUACAUAUUGUACGCAUCUUUUCUUUCAAGUCAAACUUUGGCGAUGACGCUCGUCGUGUCACUAAGCAUGCCUCUAACGGCAUAGACUAGUUCCCGAACUCGGGGACUAAGCACCAAUCACUACUCGGGAUAUCUCUAGUGACUCAGCUAGCUCCUAGGCUCGGGGGCUAGACGCCGCAAAACUACUCGAUGUGGCUCCUACGGCUCGCCCAGCGCAUAAGCUCGGGGGCUGGAUGCCGCAAAACUACUCGGAUGAUGACUUACGCAGAGAUUCAAGAUCCUUGAGAUGAUUAUUCAAUCAAUUCAAGGCUCGAGGGCUGAUAAGCUACACCCAUCAGUUGAUUUUUUGUCAAGCCGGAAGAAAAAGUUUCAAGAUUUUGACCCUCAGCCUGAUUCUACGAGUCAACCUAAGGCUCAGGGGCUCCUCCAUAUGGAGUGUGAUUGUCAUCGCACUAUCAUAUAAAGAUUCAAGACAAAGGCUACUUGAAGCAACGUUACGCAAAGCAGAGAGUACCUUCCAGCCAUGUGACAGUACUCGGUUACUCGAAGGCUAGCCACCACGAGAAGCGCUCAAAAAGCACCAGAUAGUACUCGGGCAACCUCUUCAAGUACUCUGAGCUGUUCCACUCGACUACAAAGUACUCGGGGGCUUGUCAGGCAUACAUCCCCAGCCCCACGAGUAGGCCUUGUACGGCCCACCUAGGGGCAUAGUCGGACGUGAUCAAUACUUGGAGGCUACGUCAUAGGGUAACAUAGCCUAAACGGACUCCUGAAGACUAGUCACGGUGCAUAAGGAAACUAUUCUACCCAGUUGGAGUAAGACUCUGUAAUCGUACUCGACGAGGAUUCCACCCUGUAACUCUGCUCCCCCGAUAUAUAAAGGCGGACAGGGACCCCUUCCAAAGAACCAACUCAUAAGCAAUACAAGCAUCAUACAGGAUGUAGGGUAUUACGCGAUCUAGCGGCCCAAACCUAUCUAAAUCGUGUGCCUUACGUGACCAUCGACUUCUUGAUUCUCGACAUCCCCACCGCACAAAAGACCUCAUAGGGGACUCCCUAGGUGGGUUAUCAGUCUAAAACACCGAUAGGAGGUGCGAUGGACAAUAGUGACCCAUCUAGAAGAGCUGCAUGGAGAGGAUGCCGGUGCAGAGGACGGCAACGUGGAGAUGGUCGUGCAAGCGAUGAGGAGCGGAGCGGCGGCUCGAAUGCCACGAGGCCAUUCUGGUGCCGCGGGAACCACUCACAUGCUGACGUUGUGGUGGUGUGAGGAUCUACGCUGGUGGUAGUGGGGGCCAUUGUCGCAGAAAGCUUUGUGUUUGCGCACAUGGUACAACUGAGAUUAUGACGGCGGCAAGGUGGAGGUGAAGUUAUUAGAGUAGCUCGGUGGGACCAUGUCACCCUGAUGGAAAAUCAUGUCUGGAUCCUUGGUAUGGAGUCCAGCGGUGGAAGUGGUGAGAUCCCCGUUUGCUUUAAGGUGAUGUGUACGAGGAGUUGUGUGUGGCGGUGAAUGUGGCUAGAACCCCACACAUUUUGAGUUGCCUUGGAGGGCCAGGAUCCGGUGCAGUGUUUUGAUGGUUGGUGUGUACGGUGCGAUAGCAGUGCUUCGGCGUUGGGUCCUGCAGUGCGGUGGUCGUUUCAGUGUGGUGCAGUGUGCUCCUCCUUUGACUUAUGCUAAUACAAAGCCGUGGAUUGGGAGAUCGAUGACCGUGUGUGUGUGACCUGAGGACGACGACGACAUGGUAGAGAAGCCCUAGUAGCUACACGACUUGCAGCGGACUGCGACGGCCAGUCCUACGUGGCUUCGGCUGGUUUGGCUGGGACAUCGUCGGGGACGAUGGCGCUAGCGAUGAGGGCUACUUGGCGGCUUUUCCUGCUCAGUGGUGGUGGCAUGGUGGUCGCUGCUAGCUCAAGCGUUAGCGUUGAGUGGCUUUGCGUCGACGACCACCCAUAGAGUUCUUUUUUUGUUUUGAGUUGAGUCGGCAUUAUCUGUUGGGAGCUACUUCGGUGGCUCUGUUGUUAUACCCAGUCUAGGAUCUUUCUUCUUUUUAAAUAAUCGACAGCUCUCCUGCCUGGUUUGUUUGAAAAAAAUUCAAAAAUACGGUUGGAUGUAAGAUUAACGAGUUAAUCUUCAUGUAGCAUGUACAUAGACAUGUAACCAAGAAACACAAACUUUUUUACAACGGAACUCAAGUGUAUUUGAGUUGUACAGGCAGAGAUAUGACUAUAGAAAUUGGGGAAGCAGCACUUUGCAUGUAAUAUAGGGUUGAAUAAAUCACCUCUACCGUGGUUUAUACGUCAGUACUGUACAACAAAACCUGGCCACCAUCCCUAAAUUACAUGAUAAAAACUCUAUCAUCUACAACCAACAACUCUAGGUACGGUAGUUGUACACAUUACACGAUAUUGGUACGUAUGUUUAACUUGACCUGAAUGCAUAUGUUUAACCUUGGAGAAGAUAGUCCGAUUCAACCCUUAGAAAUCCUUUAAGAGAUGUGUCCAUGUUAAUCUUGCUACUACUAAUUGGAGAUACCGGAGGAUUCUCAAGUUAAGACGCAUGGGCGGCCGUGCUAGAAAAAAUAAGAUCUCAAAAACUCAUGAAAACAGAAAUUGCACCUCAUCACAAGGUGGACACGGUGCCCUACUGCAGCCCAAGCAACUACUACACUUGCAUUGGUGUUCUUUUCAGACAGUGCUCGCUGCAGGACAAAACGCUGACAGAGAUUUGUUGUUGCCAUUCUAGAAUCGUUUUAGCUGUGGCUUCGUUUCAUUCAGGAUUAAUUUGCAAAAAAAAUGUAUUUUCAGUGGAAAAUAAUGUAACCAGAUUGGCUCGAUUGCCCCAGAAAGAUAUAAUAACUCCAUGCAGUAACAUAUACAUGGUCAUACUUUAAUUAUUGUGCGUACAGUUGUACUACAGCAAGGCAUAUAUCUUAGCUGUCUCUUCGCUUUAACUAAAGAAUUGGAUGCUAGGAUGAAAGAUCCAUGGUUUGGGGCCACUAUUACUAGCUUUCUGCUGAUAUUGAUAACGAACGUAGGAUGGCAUGGGUUCCCUCCCUUUCUACAAAUGGGAGAGAACCCUGGUAUCCUUCUUUCGCUAUCAAUAUCAGCAGGAAUCUUGGCCCCAAAAGAGAGGACCUAAUGCCUUCAUCAUUAUGUUUUUCUUUUGACGCUUUCAUUCUAGCAUCGAUCCUAUUCUUUAGCUAAAGCGAAGCAAUAUUUGAGAUAUAUGCAUUGCUACAGUAUCUAUAAUAAUUGAAGUUCGAUCGUUGAUGUACACAGUAAUGUUAUAUUCCUCUAACAACAUUGAUCGAUGAUAUGCAGAGACAAGUAUCUAAAUUUUAGCUCCAAGUAAGUUUUAACCAAAAGUUUAUCUUAAGGGGUUCCACGACCCAAAUCUGUACUCCCCUAAAAAUAAACUUCAAUGGUAGUCCGACGGACUAUAGGGCCACCUGAUUAAACCUAUGAUUAACGACCAACAUAUCUAUCACUUACUCUCACUAUUUCCUUAUUAUUUGGUGAACCGCUUAGUGGAAACAAUCUAUAGAAGAAAAAUGUGUUGGAAACUAAUCUUGACAUGUUUUUCAUCCAUGCGUUAGUUGUGAACGCGCAUGAGAAGAUUAAUCAAGCUACAUGCAUGUGUGAAAGGGUUACAUGCAUGUGUGUGAAUGCAGUGCAUGCAUGCGCGUAUGGAGAAGACUAGGAUCUGCAUGCAUAUGGAAGCUUAGGGAGUUAUGUGUUACUCAAAGAGUCUCUAGACAAUGUGAAUCGAACGUGUCUUGGUACACUGGUAGAAAACUGAGUAUUAGUCCCAGUUGGAACGUUGCAAAUCUCCCAAAAAACCAUCCGGGAUAAAGCAAUCGAGAUAAAAGGGGGUGUCUUUUAUCCCAGGUCCCUCAACCGGGACUAAAGACACCCUUUAGUCCCAGUUGGUAAUACCAACCAGGACUAAAUGGUUUUGCAAAAAAAAUUAAAAAAUAAAUAAAUUCCUGUGGGGUCCUAGGGAGGCCUCCCCGCGACAAGCCACAAGUCAUGCGAUUUUCACGCGAAAUAUGCGCAUGCGCGGCUCGUGGGAUUCGAACCCACGACCUCAAGCCUCGCGCGUAGCUUCCUUGCCAUCCAACCUACACAUCAUAUCUAACUAUAUAGGGGAUCCAAUCCUUUUAUACUAACUUGUGGGGAACCCUUUAAUCCCGGUUGGAGAUACCAAACGGGAUAAAAGACCCCCUUUUAUCCCGGUUUGCAUUACAAACUGAGAUAAAAGGGUCUGGAACAUUUAUUCCUUCCCCGGAGCACAUGUGGGGGACCAUUUUAUCCCAGUUGGAAACACCAACCGGGAUAAAAGACCCUAUUUUAUUCCGGUUGGUAUUACAAACCGGGAUAAAAGGGUCCGAGGCCUUUAGUUCCUUUUCAGCCACCCGUGAGGGACCCUUUUAUCCCGGUUGGAGUUUCCAACCGGGAUAAAAGACCCCAUUUUAUCCCGUUGGUGUUGUGAGCUUUAGUCCCGGAUGAUAACACCAACCGGGAUUAAAAGGGUGACCUUUAGUCCUGGUUAUUCUUACCAUCCGGGACAAAAGGGUCCCCCACAGGUAGCUAAUUUUUUCACCCGGGACUAAAGGGUCCCCCACGGGUGGCUGAUUUUUGAACUGGGACAAAAGGUAACUUUUAGUUCCGGUUGCAAAUACCAACCGGGAGUAAAGCUCUGCGAACGCCCUUUUGUACCAGCCUUCUUUAAACCGGGAUUAAAAGGAAGCGCAUCGAAAGUUAGUUCUCUACUAAUGGUAGUGUGAAACCCGGUAGUUCCUCAGCUUCUCCUGCUUCGAAUCUGAACUCCCCUCCCCGUGCUGACAGAAAAAGGGGUAUUUAUACCCUAGAGACGCCAUGGUAUAAAAGAGAAGUGGGCGAGGUGAAAGCCCAUGCCGAUCGGCCUAGGUGGGUCCAAGCCGAUCGACCUGGCCCUUCCUUUCAUCCCCAAUUGCUCAAUGGAAACUCUCAUUUCAUCAAGUCUCUCAAAGCCUAUGCUAGAACAUUGUCAACCUAUUCUACUUACAAACAAGUGGUAGGCUUAUCUGGAUCUUGGUAGGUAGAAACAGUCCUUGCAAAGUAUAAUAGUCAGAAUAUUAUCAAAUUAGGAAACACUUCUAUUGGGUUGUCAAAAAGGUCAUGGAGAAAUAGUUGCUUAUAGAGAGAGAAUGGAACACACACUUUUUUAGAUGGCGGACAUGUGCAAGGGAAAAUAGGUGAUCCCGAGACACAAAUGAAGUUAUUGUUAUCGAGUUGCAUAUGGUUAGAAAAUUUUAGUGUUAACCCUGCUCUUAAUCAUAUGUAACAAGACAUGGCACUCCAUUUAGAUGUUCAAUUAAUAUUCUAGCUUAUUAUUAUGGAGGAUAGACAUUUUUCAAUGAUGAACAAGCCACAAAGAAUUUAGAACAAUGCUCUCAAAUUUAAAUCAACUUCAGAACUUUUCUUUCAAUGGAGCAUAAUUUUCAAACAGGACUAGAUCAACAUCAGCAACAGAAUUCUUGCAAUUGCUCAAUGGAAACUCUCAGCUCAUCAAAUCUCUCAGAGCCUAUGCUAGAACAUUGUCAACCUAUUCUACUCAUAUAAACAAGUGGUAGGCUUAUCCGGAUCUUGGUAGGUAGAAACAGUCCUUGCAAAGUAUAAUAGUCAGAAUAUUAUCAAAUUAGGAAAUACUUCUAUUGGGUUGUCAAAAAGGUCAUGGAGAAAUAGUUGCUUAUGGAGAGGGAGAGACUGGAACACACACUUUUUUAGAAUGUUGACAUGUGCAAGGGCAAAUAGGUGAUCCCGAGACACAAGUGAAGUUCUUGUUAUCUAGUUGCACAUGGUUGGAAAAUGAGUAUGGAUUUACCUUUAGGGGACUGGGAAAUUUAUGAAGCUCAAAGAACUAUUGAGAAUUUUUAUUAUCAUCUUUCUUUUUGCUCUUUUUCUUCUUUUUCUCAUCUCAUUUUUAAUUUUAUUUUUUAAUUUUUUUCUUUUGCUUCCUUAGAACUUUUUGCAACAUAAUACUUACUUAGCAGUGGUCAGAGAUAACGCGAUGACUCCAACCCCCAUGCUUGAACGAUGCUCGUCCUCGAGUAUGAAAGAGAGAACUAUUGUGACCCUUUUGAGAUUCAUUUGAUGCUUUCAUGAUCAAGAUCACCUGCACUCCACCUAUAUAUGCUAAACUCCUACACUAGUAGUUCACAACAAUUAUCACCCAUCCAUUCCACAAAAUAAAUACUCCACUACAUAUGUUGAUUUCUCUCAAGUUAUCAUUACAAAAGAAACAUGGGCUAUUGAAAAAGAGAGGGACACAUGAAGGUCCCAGUAUAGAAAAAAAUAUGAACACAUGAAGGUCCAAGUAUUAAAAAAAUGAAGAAAAAAAGGAGUCGGACACAUGAAGGUCCAAGUAUGUGAAUAAAGUGGAAGAUAGCCAUGUUCUCAAUAUUAAAUAUGUCCAAAGGGAGAGAGAUUAUAUAAAAUGGAGUUUCCAUACAUUCCCUAUCCACCACCCACAUAUUCACACACAUGCACAUCUUGAUCUGAUUGUAUGACUUGUUUUCUCCUUAAAUCCGGUUUUUGAAUUUGCAAUAUAUGUAAUACAAGUAUGCUUUAUUUUCAUCCCCUACCUUGAGCUCCACAAAAAGCUUUAUUAGAAGUAGGAAGGAAAAGAGGCAAACAAAUGCCUCGGUAAGGAACCAUACACAUUGAGCGAUCUGAGAUAAUCAUUCGAGGAGCAAGUCUAUGCUUUGUUCUGAGAAUAUUUCAAAAACCUAAGAUAUCUGAGUACGAGAAGUUUGUUACUUCUCUUCUUCCUUUUUAUAUAUGUGCUCUUUUAUUGUACACAAUACUAAGCUAUACUACUGUUCAAAAAGGACUAGUAUACAAAUAUUUGACGGUUAAGAUUAAUUGUAUACUACUGAAACCUUCACCUGUGGUAUGGGUAGUAUACAUGACUAGUAUAAGGGUAUUAUGGUAAAAGAACACAAAUGAUAUCACUAAAAUUUUAUUUUUGACACUAGCAUAAAGUUUAAAAUGCCAUUUCAUUUGAAAUAUCACUUUUCACAUGUAAUAAUUACUAAAUCAUGAAUAUUUAUAUCUUAUAUAUACUUAUAUACUACUAAGUAGUAUAAGCAGCAGGGGAUUACCCCUCGUGUUCCUAAAGAUAAAAUAGAUUACAACUCCAGCGGACGUGCUACAAUUCUUCAGGGCGCCGUGCCUGCCCUGAAAAAUUCCUGAAUGAGGGACGAUUUGCCGAUGAAUACUGCUGAAAUCAACAAGCUGGCCAAGAGCCUUAAAAAGUGGUUGAAUGUUGAAAGCUAAAGUAAGCAAAGCGCACUUGAUCAGUCCAACACACAACUUCCACAAAUUAAACAUGAGCUAGCACGAAGCAGUUCAUCACGAGAUCGACACACGACUGUGCGGACAUGAAGUUGUUGAUGCAUGCGGUCUCUGAUCAUCACGUACCAGCAGGCGGUGAUUUACCAUUACCGCCUGCCACUGCUGGCGGAGGAGACGGUGCCGGCGGAGUGCUCCCCCAUGAGACCGGGUACUCCAGUUCUUCUUCCGUCUUGCAAGGGACCUUGCCGCCGUCCGGGGUGCUUGCAUCGCUACGGAGGAAGGUAACCGGCCAGCAGUAAUAGGUCUUGUUGAUGAUCUUCUCCGAGUGAGCACGCUUGUAGCUGGUCUCCACCACCACCAUCACGGGGAAGCUGCGGUGGUGCCUGUCGGAGAGGUAGUGCACCGACGCGUAUUGUCCUUGCCUGUAGAGGCUUACCCACCUCCUGUACCUGUGCGAGCUGUGCGGCUGCAGGUCGAAGAUGACGUUCGUCUCCGGCUGGUACCAUAAGAACUGCACCAUCUCCGUGAAGGAAGCAUUGGGGUUGUCUAUGACCCUGAUGAUGCUGAUGUUGCACUGGAUCUGGCCGCGGCCGCUGGGGUUGAGGGCGUCGACGAUGAUCAGCAUCGGCACCUCUCCCGCUGGCGAGUACACAGACGUGGUGUUGUCGUAAAUCCACCACCAUUGUUGUGUCUGGACAUAGCCGUAGCUCUGGAGGUCCAUCUCCACGGGGCGGUUGACGAAGACGAUCACCAUCACCACCACCGCGACGGCGAGCACGGAGACCACGACGGCCACCAGUGAGCGCACCGUGGCUAGGAAGGGGAAUGUAGUGUUCUGGCCAGCGCGGCAUGUUGCCAUUUUUUCUCACGUAGGUAGCUAGGGCGGUGGAUGAUGGACUUGUCCGCUAGGGACCUGCAGCCAUAUAUACACAUAAAUUACUGACCGAAUGUUCAUUCCCUUUUUUUGGUUAGAUGACUCAGAUUAGUCUACCGGUUAACAGGGGGCUUGGCUAACAAUUAGGCUGCCUAUUAACCUCCUGUUAGGAUCAGCCAUGGCAAAGUUUUGACGGUUAACGAUCUCCCUAUAUAUCUAAACAAGUUCUUAGGUCAUGUUCCGUUCUUUAGGAGCUCCUAAAAUUCAUGUCACAUUCGAUGUGACAUGAAUUUUAGUCUGGACUAAAGAACCAAACACCCCAUUACUCCCCUCCCCCUCCCACCUCCCACACCAAUGUUCAAAAUUUUGGCCGAAAUUUCAUGAAAUUUGAUCUUUUGGUAGUGACCGAAAUUACUAUUUGCCCGAAAUUUCGGUAUGUCAACCGAAAGAUGCACUUUUUGCACCAAAUUUCACAUGAAAUUUCAUGAAAUUAGGUGUUUUCGAUGGGGACUGAAACUUUUCUGAAAACAAAAUCCCAAUCCCUGCCCCACACCGUCCAAGUAGAAUUAGGACACACUCUUUAUACAGUGAUAAUUCAGGCUUCUGCCAACCACAGGAACCGGAGUUGUUUAAUUUUUUGGCAAAAUGUCGUGCAGAUGCUUACAUACAAAGCAUUCGUACAUGCACCAAUUAUGAGUACUUCUGCAACACCGUGUCAUUAUGCUUUCAAUAUCUGGUCUUUAAAAACCUUAGAUUUACCUAUGAUGACUUGGUUAAUUAAUCUCAAGAUCAUCUGCUACCUAGAGUUUUGGUGGCACUGGAUCAUAGGGCACAGUUGUAUGUGUAUUCAUCAGAAUGAGUGCAUGUGCAUCUAUAUGAUGUCCGUGUUUUUUUUAAAAAAAUAAACCUGCGCAGGUCAUGAUGCUUCCACUAUCCUGUCUUAUCUGUUUGGAUACCAGGGGCUAUACUUUAGCUCCUGUCAUAUCAGAUGUUUGAUACUAAUUAGAAGUAUUAAAUAUUGACUAAUCACAAAACUAAUUGCACAGAUGGAGGCUAAUUCGCGAGACGAAUCUAUUGAGCCUAAUUAGUCCAUAAUUUGACAAUAAGGUGCUACAGUAACCAUUUGUUAAUGAUAGAUUAAUUAGGCUACGUCUCGCGAGUUGGUCCAGAAUUUGUGCAAUUAGAUUUAAAAUUAGCUCAUGUUUAAUUCUCCUAAUUAGCAUCAAAACAUUAACUGUGACAAGGGCUAAACUUUAGCCAAGGACAACCAAGCAACAUGCACGCCUAUAUAUGCUCUUUGAUCAGAAAAGGAAAGAAAUAUUCCCAAAAAAAAGGAAUAUGUGCUGCGGUCCAUACACGUUCUUUGAAGAAAUAUUCCAUACUUAUUUUAUGUCAUUGUAGAAGGACUUUGAAUAAGGUUCGAUGGAGUCACGUGGCUGCGUCUGCUGGCAGCUGAUCGAUGAGUCAUAUUACUAUUGGACUUGUGUUUUGGAUGCUUAUGUUUUGGAUUACAUUCAGAAUGUACGGGCAGGGGCGAAGCCACGUAUAAGAUUUUUAUUUACCACUAAUUAGACUCAAAAUUACCAUAUAAUCCUAGCUUGUAAAUUAAAAUUUACAAGUCUCUUGAGCAGUGCACCACGGUCAAUUCAGCGCUAGCUUCGCCCCUUUGUACGGGGAUUAUGCAACCCAGAAACGACGACUAAGAGCCUCAUUUCCGGACAUGCGUCCCUAUGAUCCUUUAUAUACUCCAAAUGUCUGAGUGGCCGGCUCAUACUUGCCAUGGCGAUGUCUAUCCCUCCUCUCAAAGGAUGGAGCAGCAAGCUCCUUGUAGUUGCGGCCAUGAUAGGAACCCUGGUCGUGGUCGCCAUCGCCGCCGUCAUCAUCGUCGGCCUCACUCCGCCACUGGUCUUCUUCUCCAUCCAAGAUGCAAGCCUCCAAGGCGGGCAGUUGAAACAGCAAAAAUUCUACAACUUCACCCUCUAUGCCAACAACACCAGCCGGCGCAUGGAGGUGCACUAUACCAACCUCAACACCGAGAUCUGGAUAGCCCCGUCUGAGUGGUACCCGGCCGAGGUGAGCAUGAGCGGGUUCGAGCAGCCACCGGUGAGCAUCAACGGGUACAAGCAGCCACCGGACAACGUGACCAAGGUCGCCGGGUGGGCCGAGUUCUAUCAGACGACGUCGUUGACGGCGGCGGCGCAGGGCGGCGGCGCGGGGAAUUGGCCAAACUGCACUGUGGUGGUGAUGGCCAAGGUGUUGUUCAAGGUCGGGCUGGCACGCACACGGCCGUACCACAUCAGGGUGUUCUGCUUCCCCGUCAACUUCCUCAAUACGACUCGGUACGCCAAUUGUACAUACUGAUCUCGAUCGACGUGUAUGCAUGCAUCCAUGUUGUUGAACGUGUACAUGACUGUUGUGACGUGCUCCUUUACCAUAGCUUCAGAUCCUGACUUGUAGCAUUGACAGAGUAUGCGUCUAUUAUGGCAGAGAGCCUCUUGUACAUGUAUUUAACUCAAUCCAGAGAUCAAUAAUGAAAGGAUGCGGUUUUUUUUUAGGAAACAGGAGGGGAAGUACCCCUGCUGAUUAUAUAUUAAUAUAUAGUUGACAGUACACUAGUGAUACAAACCUUGUUUAUGACACAAAGAAAGAAACAAAAAAGAUUAAGAAAAUUACAGUGAAUGCUCUAACCAUUGAACCAUUGAUUGUUUCCAAGACUCUCUGACACGAAAUACUACCAAACUGAAAAUCUGUUUGAACCGUUCCUUUGCAGCUUGAUAAGCUGGCACUAGGGCCUUUGAAGAUGCAGUCAUUGCGUGUCAUCCAAAUACUCCAGCUCAUAAUUACGAUAAUUUCCAUAAAGAAAGGCACUUGCAACUGGUUCCAGCUCAUAAUUACGAUAAUUUCCAUAAAGAAAGGCACUUGCAACUGGUUCCAGAAGCUAACGAGAAUAUCAUAAGGUUGUUGCUGCAAAUCCACAAAGAGGCCGAGAUUGAUCCAACACUCCUGUGCGAAUGGACAAUCUAGUAAUAGAUGAAAGAGGGUUUCUUCCUUGUUGUGGUUCCAGAGGACGCAGUUAUAGGAAGGGAGAGCCAUCUGCUUUCGUUUAAGCUCCACUGGCGGCAGAGCCGCAUCCUGUGUCGGCUCAUCCGCGGCAUCCUGUGGGUGCGAAGCAUGCUAAGCCACCCUAACCUCUGCUUCAAGCAGCUCUCCGUGCUAGGGUUCUUCCAACUGUCGUCGCCUUCGCCGUUCAUGGUGCCAACCAAGGCAGUGCCCAAGGAGGUAAUUAAAGAUUUCUUCAUCGGUAAUGUCGCGCGGUUCUUGGUUUCAAGUACUGCCUGUAUUUUUUUAUUUUUUAUUUUUGCCUUGUCAUUUGGUCCGUCAGAACUAAGUUUGUCGAAUUCCUUCUGAAUAAGCUUGAGACGCUGGUCGUGCUUGUUUGUUGGUGUGCCUACGUGCCGCGUAGUUGUCGUAGCAAAUACUUUCGGUUCCAUAUCGCCUGUGACUGGACCGGGAUGUUCUUCAAUCUGUUAUGGCCCUGUAUUCUGUUUUUAUAUGGAUCCCACAUAUAAUCAAUUUCCAACAUUUGCUUUCCUCUGUACAUUCAGCAUGUUGUCUUUUUUUUUUUUUUGAAGCGCAUUCAGCAUGUUUCGCAGAUGUUUGGAAGGAUGAUCCAAAUUCUGAAUGCACAGACCCUGUUGGGAAAUUGAUUUCCCCACUGCGUGUCUGUGUUUACAUGCAUCUUCUAACUGUGGUUCCAAUGGCCCGUCUAGGCCCAUACAGGCCUAUCAGGUGGAUGGGCCGGCCGGCCUCCUGGAUCAACAAGACCGGUAUCCCUUCUUGGCCCGUCCGCCCCCGCUGUAGAAACAAAACCAGAACCAGCAGAUCCCCCGGGCCCUGAAGAGAAAGACGAUGGCAACAGAAGAAAGAGCUCGCGACGAAGCCGGCGAAAGCCCCCCAAACCCUCCCCAGCCCAGGCAGCGGCGGCGCGACGAGAUGGCCGACGACCCCACCGCCGGCGGCGGGAACACCGUCGAGGACGUCGUCCGCGCGGAGGUGAGCAUCCCCGGCCGGCCCUCGUCCUCUUUGCUGCGAGUGCCGGGGAAUCCGAUCUCCGCCCGGGCCGACCUGGCUCUGCUCGGCUGCCUCCCGAUCUGCCCGCGCGGGUGGCGGCGCCUCGCCCCUAGUUCGGUUUCGGGUUAGAGGUGUCCCAGCGUGGUGUCUGGGCGGGGGGAAUCCGGCGACGAGGCGUUCUCCCUCCCGUUGGCUCGGUUGGCGCGGACGGACGCGGUGGGCCUGGUUGGGGAAAUCUGUGCCCGUUUCGAUUUGGGUGUAGAAUAGGUAUACGUCUUCAAAAUUGAUAGAAUUAGGCCCGUUUAUAAAAAAUUGAUAGAAUCUGCCUGCAAGGCGCGGUUUCCCAGCUGGCCCGUCCUCAUUUACUAAUCCCCACCAAGCUUAGCAUCUUUCCUUUCGAUGAAAUAAAAAAAUGUUAAUGUCAACAGCUCCUCGAUUACCGCAUAGAUUAACACCUCUUUAGCCUUUGUGGCACGGCACCUAAUACUUUCCUCACCUUUGCAGUGCCGUGGGCCCGCCACUUCCCUUCUGGCCCACAAGUCAUGGAGGCGCGCGAGGAGGGGUAUCGGUUUCACGAUGAUUAAUCAAGAAAGGCCCAAGACACGUCACGCUGGGGGUGGGGGAGGGAAGACACCGCACCGCAUGCACCUGCAUGCACCUUUGCCUUUGCUUUUCCCCGGCGUCCUAGGGACCUCGAGCUCGCCCGCCUAGGAGCUCCAGCAGCCGGGCCGCUCCGCCGCCGGUGCGGCAACCACGCCGCCGUCAGACCACCUCGCGCGGCCACCCCGCGCCGGUGCGCCGUGCGCGGCGGUGCUGUCCCGCCGCUCCUCCGCCUACCGUCCUCCUGCGCCACCACCAGCUAGCGCACCGGCAGCACCGCGAGCUGCCGCGCCGCCCCGACGACGUUGGUCAUUCCGGAGCCCGGUGUCGUCACCAGCGUCGCCGGAGAAGGUAAUUACCUGAAGCAAUUUGUAGAAACGAAUAGUACUGGUUCGUUCACUUAUUUCAUUGCUCAAACUUAAUUUCUGCUUAUUAGAGUUUGUGCCUUGUCGUGAGACUAAAUUAGCUGCUUAUUCUGCAGGUUGCAUUCAGGAGAUCGAGCUGCCGGAUCGGAGGAGGUCAUAUCAGCCGUGUUGGUUGUGCACUUGUGUUGCUGCCGGCGGAGAAGGAACCAUGGUGAUCGGGCCACUGAUCUCCAUAAUGUAGUUGAACUAAAAUAAUCCCCUUCUGAGUUUAGCAUCUUUCCUUUGGAUGAAAUAAAAAAUUGUUAUUCCGGAUCCGUAAUCUCAACUGCUCCUCCAUUACACAUAGCAUCUUUCCUUGAGUUUAGCAUAUUAUUUCAACAUUUCAAAACUCUAGAUUCAACAUUUCUUGAAACUUAGUGCAACAUUUUAGAUAAAUCGAUUCAACAUUUAGCAUAGUAUUGUUGAAAAUGUUGAGCUAGUAUAUGUUAUUUCAACAUUUCUGCAAAGCUAGCUCAACAUUGAGGUAAUGUAGUUCAACAUUUUGUGUAGUAUUGUUAAAAUAGUGUAUCUAAAAUGUUGAGCUAAUACACAAAAAGUGUUGAGCUAGUAUAUAUUAUUUAAACAUUUCAAAAGUCUAGAUUCAACAUUUAUGGAAACCACAUUUUAGAUAAACUGGUUCAAUAUUUUGCAUAGCAUUGUUGAAAUAGUGUACCUUAAACGUUGAGCUAAAUAUAUAAAAAUGUUGAGCUAAUAUAUCUAAAAUGAUGAAACUAAGAAAAUAAAAAUGAAAAAAAUAUAUACAGUCAUGUGGGAUCUUAAUCCGUUAGAAAAAUUUCGAAAAGGCUCAUAGUUUAAUCGGAAUUAAAAUUAAAUGCACCGUUAGAGAGAUAAGUAAGUUGAAAAGUUCGAAAUCAAAACUCACAUCACCCAACAAGUAGCUGAAACCUAUCCGUCCUUUCAGCAGCUCCACCCACCUCGCACCAGCAUACUAGCACAUGGUGGUCCCCAGCCACCUCGAUGCCGUUGCGUCGAAGGAGAGGGCGGAACCGACGAGGGUCGCCGGCGGCUCCCACCCCGGCCGAACGCGUCCUGACCGACUCCGGCAGGGGGCGGCAGGGCCUCCCGCAGGUGAGCGCUUCCAUCCGUGGUCCGCAGCAGUAAUGUCUGAUUUUUCGCUUUCUUCUCCAGAAUUCGUCGCAUAUACUUAUAUGUCAUCGUCCUCUUAUUUUUCGCUUUCUUCUCCAGAAUUCGUCACAUAUACAAAGCUUUCACGAUUUCGAUGAGAGAUUUGGUCAUGUUUGUGGCCACGGAGACACAGUCUAGCUAGCGUAGUGAAAAGUGGCACUAGUGAUUGCAAUACGCACGGAAAUUGGUUUUUUGUCUGUUCUUUCUCCAUCUCAAUCAUCAAUCAAAUGGGGGUAGUCGUCGGUACGCCGGGUGGGCCGAGUUGGCCAAACUGCACAGUGGUGGUGGCAGCCAAGGUGUUGUUCAAGGUCGGGCUGGCACGCACACGGCCGUACCAUAUCAGGGUGUGUCCUGCUUCCCCGUCAACUUGGGGAGGUGGGCCAAGCGACAGCUAGCUGUGGUGUGGUGGGCAUCCAGCAGGCGCGCAGGGCCCAGCCGUGGCCGUGAUUAUGCGCCGGGGUGAGAGAAGAAGACACGGCACCUAAUACUUUCCUCACCUUUGCAGUGCCGUGGGCCCACCACUUCCCUUCUGGCCCACAUGUCAUGGAGACACGUCAGGCUGUGGUGGACAAGGGAAGACACCGCACCGCACGCACCUCCACCACUUGCCUUGCCUUUGCCUUCGCUUUUCCCACUUGUGCUGUGGGAAGACACCGCAUACACCUCCAGCUCGAGCUCGCCCGCCUAGCUAGGAGCUCCAGCAUCCGGUCCGCUCCGCCGCCGGUGCAGCAACCACGCCGCCGUCAGACCGCCUCGCGCGGCCACCGGUCGUCCCCGCGAUACACCGCCGCCGGUGCGCCGUGCGCGGCGGCGCUGUCCCGCCGCUCCUCCGCCUACCGUCCGCCUGCGCCACCACCAGCGCACCGGCAGCACCGCGAGCUGCUGCGCCGCCCCGACGUUGGUCCUUCCUGAGCCCGGUGUCGUCACCAGCGUCGCGGAGAAGCUAAUUACCUGGAGCAAUUUGUAGAAACAAAUAGUACUGGUUCGUUCACUUAUUUCUUUGCUGAAACUUAAUUUCUGCUUAGAGUUUGUGCCUAAAUUAGCUGCUUAUUCUGCUGGUUGCACGCAGGAGAUCGAGCUACGGGCGUACGGCCGGAUCGGAGGAGGACAUAUCAGCCGGGUUCCUGUUGGUUGUGUACUUGUGUUCCUGCCGGCAGAGAAGCAACCAUGGCCGAGUUACUGAUCGGGCCACUGAUCUCCAUGGUGAAGGAGAAGGCAUCCAGCUACCUGCUGGACCAAUACAAGGUGAUGGAAGGCAUGGAGGAGCAGCGCAAGACCCUGGAGCGCAUGCUGCCAGCAAUCCUGCAAAUCAUCCAGGAUGCGGAGGAGAAAGGAGCCUCCCGAUCUAAAGUUGCAGUUUGGCUUAAAGACCUCAAGACAGCGGCCUAUGAGGCCAACGACGUCUUUGAUGAGUUCAAGUACGAGGCGCUUCGGCGAGAAGCCAAGAAGAAGGGCCACCAAAGCAAGCUUGGAGCGGAGGUAGCAAGACUCCUAGUCCCCGCUCGUAAUUCCAUUGUAUUCCGUUACAGGAUGGGCAAGAAGCUAAGCAGGAUUGUGCAGACCAUCGAGGCCCUGGUCACCGAGAUGAAUAAAUUUGGUUUCAGACACUUGCAGCAAGCACAGCCAUCAAGGCAGUGGCGACAGACAGAUUCCAUAAUCAUUGACUCCGACACAGAUAUUCUUAGCAGAUCUAGAGAUCGGGAGAAGAAGAAAAUCGUGGGGAUGCUCCUUGAUCAAGCUAGCAACAUGGAUCUCAUGGUUCUUCCAAUUGUUGGGAUGGGUGGGAUGGGCAAGUCCACCUUUGUGCAACUCAUUUACAAUGACCCUGCAAUCGAGAAGCACUUUGAGCUUCGGAGGUGGUGCUGCGUGUCAGAUGAUUUCGAUGUCAGUACCAUUGCAAGCAACAUCUGCCAGACCAAUGAGAAAUAUCGUGAAAAAUCAUUGCAGGAGCUCCAGAGUACAAUAAGUGGAAAAAGAUACCUCAUUGUGUUAGAUGAUGUAUGGAAUCGGGAUGCUGAUAAGUGGGGAAAACUAAAGACCUGCCUUAAGCAGGGUGGCAAGGGCAGUGCGGUACUAACAACAACUCGUGAUGCAGAAGUGGCUCGCAUUAUGACCAUGGGUGUAGCUCAAGCCCAUAAUAUCGAGAAUCUGAGUGACGAGCAUUUAAAGGAAAUUGUCCAGAGCAGAGCAUUCAGCUUGCAAAAUCCAAAUAUGGAAGAGCAAGAUGGCAUUCUCAGUGGAUUUGUUCGUCGAUGCGUUGGAUCUCCCUUGGCUGCCAAAGCCUUUGGCUCUAUGUUGAGUAACAGGACUAGUGUAAAUGAAUGGAAGGAUGUAUUAGCUAAAAGUGACAUUUGUAGUGAGAAAACCGGAAUUUUACCGAUCCUCAAGCUCAGUUUUGAUGACCUAUCCUCAGAUAUGAAGCAGUGCUUUGCAUUUUGUGCUUUAUUUCCUAAAGAUUAUGAGAUUGAUGUGGACCUCUUGAUUCGACUGUGGAUGGCACAUGACUUCAUACCUGUGCAGGAGGAUGACAAUCUAGAAACCAUAGGAAAAUAUAUUUUUGAGGAGCUAACUCGGAGGUCAUUCUUUCAAGAUGUCAGGCAAACACUUCAAUUUGACUAUUUUGGAAGCAGGUUGUCGCUUCGUAAGUCAACCAUAUGCAAGAUACAUGAUCUCAUGCAUGACAUUGCUCUAUCUGUUCUGGGGAAAGAAUGUGUCACUAUAGUUGGUAAGCCGAGCGUCAACAAGCUGUUGCUAAAUCCGACCCGCCACGUCUUCUUAUCACUAUAUGGUUUCAAUCCUACUUUCUGGAAAGAACAGGUUACAAGUCUACUAGAUCAUCUAUUGAAGAAACAAACUGCAAUGCUCCAUACGUUGUUUAUCAAAGAUUAUGGUCAACCCCUUGAUAUAUCAAAGUACACUUCACUGCGAGCAUUACACCUUCCAGCAAAUGAAGAGCUAAGGUAUCCUAAUCUGUCGCCACAUGAACAGCUUACAAGACACAUACAACACCUAAGGUAUCUUAAUCUGUCAUCACAUUGGUUCGAGAAACUUCCUGAAGGUAUAAGCAUUAUGUAUCAUCUACAAACGUUGGACCUCUCUCAUUGCAAAUACCUUCGUCACCUUCCAAAGGAUAUGAAGUAUAUGGCAAACCUCCGACACCUCUAUACCCAUGGAUGCAUAUCAUUGACAUGCAUGCCUCCAGGACUUGGACAGAUCACUUCUCUGCAGACUCUAACAUAUUUUGUUAUUGGUGAUGGCUUGGGAUGUAGUACUAUUGGGGAACUUCAAAACUUAAACCUUGGUGGAGAGUUAGAGUUAAGUGGUCUGCAAAAUGUAACAGAAGUGCUUGCAAAAGCAGCCAGUCUUGAAAAUAAAGAGAGACUCACACACUUAUCUCUCGCGUGGAAUGAUGAUGCCCGUGAGAAACCAGAUUCUCAUAAUGAGGUGUUAGAUGCCCUUAAACCUCAUCACCGGCUAGAGAUGCUAAGAAUAAAGUCCUACAAAGGCACCAAAUUACCGUCAUGGAUAACAGAUCUUAGUCUGUUGCAGCACUUGACUGAGCUCCAACUGGUUGGUUGUAGGCUGUGCGAGGAAUUUCCUCAAUUCUGCCAUUUCAAAGCCCUUGAAGUUCUGUAUUUGAAAAAGUUGGACAAAUUGCAAAGCCUAUGCAGUCAUAUGGUGUCUACGCCAUUUCCAGCACUGAAGCAACUCCAGUUACAUGAUUUGGAGAGCUUGGAGAGAUGGGUCGCAACAGAAGGAAAAGAAGAUGAAUUAUCCUUUCCUGUACUUGAGGAGGUUGAAAUAGAGAACUGUCCAAAGUUGACUAGCCUACCUGAAGCACCAAAGCUCAAGGUUGUAAAGCUGGAUGAAGGCAAGCCGCUGCUCUCCUUAGGAAUAGUUAAAUCAAGGCACAUGUCUUCAAUUUCUAAGCUACUACUGCGUGUCCGUGACACAGAAGCACUGCCUCAGAUAGAUUAUAAUUGGGAUUCAUCACAGAAACUGGAACUAUCUUUGGGUGGCACAGAAGCCGCACCUCUGUCACAACUGAGCAUAUUUGGCUGCAACUUUUUAUUCGUAUCAAGCCACUCACAGCUAACACCUGGGGUCUGGAAAUGGUUUGAACAUCUUGCAGUUUUAACAAUUGCAAAAUGUGAUGUGCUCAUCUACUGGCCAGAAGAAGUGUUCCAAAGCUUGGUAUCUUUGAAGUACUUGUUCAUUUUCUCCUGCAACAAGCUAAUAGGGCCCACACAAGCGAAAGGUGACAAACCUACACAAACAACAGAUCAAGUCCUGCCACAUCUAAACAUGAUACGUAUACACAAUUGUGAAAGCAUGGCACAGCUCUUCAUUCUUCCCCCAUCUAUCAGAAUUAUUCAUAUUUUUGAGUGCCCUAAGCUUGAGUUCAUAUGGGGAAAAGAGGAGCAUCUUGACACAUAUGCAUCGCUGGAACAUUGCCGCGACCCUGCAUCCACCACUGGUAACCUAGAGCAAUCGCCGUCUCCAAUUAUUCGCCGUCCAUGCCUUGUAGAUCUAACUAUAAGAGGAUGUGAUAGCCUGGUAACACUUCCAAAUCUACCACCGUCCCUCAAGGAAUUAUUCAUCCGGAAGUGUGAGAAGCUCUGCUCUGUGUCAGGAGACCUGUGUGCACUCGAGACCCUACAGAUUGUUAACUGCAAUAAGUUACAGUCAGUCAAUUCCUUGGGAGACCACCCAUCAUUAGAAACACUGUUUCUUUCUGGCUGCCGAUGCCUUGCAUCUUUAGGAUGUGAUGGUGGUCGUGGGAGUUACUCUGCUCUUCAGUGCCGUGAGAUCGAAGACUGCCCAGCCAUAGAUAUGAAGCAGUUUUACUAACGCCAUCAAACAGCUGCUUGACAGCUUUGAAUAUGAAGACGUAUCACACGUUCAUUCAAGCAGCUCUGAUGAAGGUACGACCUUUCACUUUCCUCUUAUUCAAUUUGUUUCCUUCAAAUUUCCCUUCUUUGCAUGCCCUCCUAUUUUGUUGACGAUCUGGUUUAUAGAUGGGCUUGCGGGGUGGGAUUUUGGGGUUUCAUCUUCGUUCCGGCUUUUAGACGGUCCUUUCUCACUGACGUGACCCCACAUAUAUUUUAGUUUAUACGGCUAUUGGUUUUCAGUCUUCGAUGCAGUUGAAGUGCAUAGGGAAAUUCUGGAAACAUGUUCUAUCCCUUGGUGUUGAGAUCAGCUGAUGCGGAAUCACUGAAGUACUACUGAAACGAGAUCCUGAUCGGUCUCAGUUGUGGAGAGCAAUUUGUGAUGAAUGGAAGCAGUCCCAAGGCUUCAAGAACUCAUGGAGUCGUGCUGUACCAUUCUCCACUGCCAGGGCCUAAACUAGGUACAUGGAAGGCGCACAGGUUGGGAUAGUAAAAAACCAUACCUUUGUCUGUGUUAGAGCAACUCCAAGAGGCUGCUAAUCUUACCCCAAUACCUUUUUUAGGAAAAAAAAAGAGAAAAAAUGAACUCCAACAAUCCACCUAAACCUUCCCCAAUUUUUUAGCGACGCUAAAAAACAGCCUGCCAUCGCGUAUAUUUUAGCGUUGGCGUUCCUUCCCCAAUCCUGAUUCCCGCACACCCGCGCGUCCCUUCCGAUGGGCCCAAUACGAUGACGUGGCCUGUGUUUGAAAUAUUGGGGGCUAUUUAUUAGCGAUCUGUUGUGGACUGAUAUGCUUUUGGGGGAAAUUUUUUUUGGGAGAACCCCCAAUACAUAGUUUUGGGGAAGAAUUUUUUAGGAUACUCUUGGAGUUGCUCUUAGAGCAUCUUCAAGAGUCUGCCAAAAAACUCUUCCCCAAAACCACAUCAUCCCACAAUAGAUCCCUAAUAAUAAAUUUUCCAAUAUUUUAAAAUUUGCCACAUCAGCAUGCGUGGACCCUAAGCUGGGCUGCCCCCUUCCCCCGCUGGAGCGUUUUCGCGCUUUCGCACUGUGGCUGCCUGAGCAGGGGUUGGUCUGUGCUGAUUUGCUGAACCAUGCAUAUUAUAUGCACUGGGACUGUCAUGCCCUCAGAAAAGCAUCAUCAUCUACUGGUAUGACGUCAAUUCAGCCUCAAACUCUCAACACUGAAGGCCUUCGAGGACUAGGACUACGCCAGCGCCACCCAUUGAAUCCCAUCCCCAUCUCGGCCACGUGCCAUGCCAUGCCCAGCCGUGGGGCACUGGGCAGCCCACGUGCAGCCACUUGUGGCCACGGACGCCCAGCCAGACCAUCACCCCCAAGAGGAGGAACGCCUUAUCUUUUCACCAUGAGAAAGCAGAGUCUAACGGUCCGUGGGCAAUAGGAAAAUCAGCACCGGCGGACUCCUGUGUUCACCUUCAUAUUUUUCGUGGUCUAUAUUAUGCGAGUUAUAGCAGUCCUAGGGAAUUUGUUUGGUGUCUCGGAGUUGUCAUAUUCCUAUUAAUGAUUGUGACAGCUUUUAUAGGAUACGUACCACCUUGGGGUCAGAUGAGCUUUCGGGGAGCAACAGUAAUUACAAGCUUAGCUAGCGCCAUACCAGUAGUAGGAGAUACCAUAGUGACUUGGCUUUGGGGUGGUUUCUCCGUGGACAAGGCUCUUGGAGUUGCUCUUAAUCAAUUCUCAUUUAGCACUCUGUUGUUAACAUGUUACCCCCAUGCUUUUCAUUUUUUCUGUGCAGACAUGACCCAUUUAUCCUUAAAAGGCAUAAAGGAGGGCACUCACAUGUACGCACGACUGGCAACUGGAAGCUUCGUUGCAAGCCUCUGCUAACGACCAAGUUUGUUUUCACGCCACUAUACCAGCUGCUGGUAAUUCUCUUGUCACUAAUGUCAUCCUGUCAUCCAUCAAAGCCGUGGAGAAUAUGAUGCCACUCUGAGUCCUUCAGUUUGCCACGUGAGCCGAUGAAGCAGAAACAGAUGAUGAUGAUGGAUGAUAUAACUGCGGGGAUGCAGACUUGCUUUCAACGGUCGAAAUGGAGCUACAAAUGAUUAGUCGUAGUCGUGUGUGGUCCUUCCAUCACCUUGUGUUAUUGAUCCCGUUUGUAUGUGUUGCGUUCUCUAUAUCCCUCCAUAGCUUUUCAGUUGUUGUCUCUUUUACGACUAUUUUGAUUCCUCUUUUCCUUUUUAUUAAUAUAACACAAAAAUCCUCUUGCCAUGUUUUUGAAAAAACAAAAUCGUGAGGAUGCUGCUUCAUGAAGCUAGCAACAUGGAUCUCAUAUGGUUCUUCCGAUUGUUGGGAUUGGUGGGAUGGGCAAGACCACCUUUAAUUUGUGCAACUCAUUUAUGACCCUGAUCGUGAUGCAUUUUGAGCUUCAGAGGUGGUGCUGUGUGUCAGAUUCGAAAAUGUUUUUUGACUCUUUCAUCACCGCCUUCAGUAGCUCAUGCCGGUCAGGUCUUCUCCAGUGACCAGUUCCUUCACCUUGGUUGCGCACCCCCUCACCUGGGCUUGCAGCUAGGUCAUAGCCUUGGCAUUCCGCAUCAUCUCAGCCAUGGCAUAGUCUAGUGCUACGUAGGUUGUGUCCGUCCCGGCUUCAAACAUGUCCUUCAUGAACAUAUCCGUAGAACUCCAAUCAAAUUUAACCAAACUAGUCAUGAAACAUGUCAUAUGUACCUCUUGUGAGAAUUAAAUUGGAGGCUUAAAAUCCUUCAAUUAGUAACAGUAAGAAAUUAAUUAAAAUUUGGAGUUUUGUUGCAUACAAGUUGCCAGUCACCAGUACAGAAAUGACCUUUAGUCCUGGUUAGGAAACCUUGGGAAACCUCAAAGAGCUCGGUUUUCCCGACCGGGAUUAAGUAUUCGGGAUUUAGUCCUGUAACACCAUGUGCUUUGCCUUAUAAUGAAAGCCACUAAAAAUUCGAACUUCUAAAAUUUUCCUAUAAACUAAAAUGUGCCUUGCUAUUUCAUACCUCAAAACCCUUUCAAAAUAAAUUUUACAAAACAACCUUCAUCAAAAUUCACCAUAUGCAUUUUAUUGUGCUUGUUUGAGUGUUGUUUGCUUGUGUGCUUUGUUGAAUCUUUUGGUGGCAACCAACCCCUUGACCUCCUUUCCAAAUUUCCCACAAAUCCUUGUUAAACAUCCCUUCGAAUUCCUCAAAUCCAUUCAAACUCCAUUUCAAAUCUCUUCCAAAAUUAUUCAAACCAUUUCCUUGGGUGCAGGCUCAAUUUCCCUCUCCUCUCCUUUCGGCCUGGCGUGGCUUGCUUCUCCUUCUCCCUUUCAGCCCAGCUCGGCCCGCCCCUCCUCGCCUUCUUCUUUCCCGAGCAGGCCACCUCCUCCUCCUCCUUUACUUCCGCACGGCCCGGUCCAGCCCACAACGGCCGCCACCUCUCUCUUCCUCUCCGCACCAGCACCGCCCAUGAGAAUGGCCCGUGACGACCCGGCUCCCACUCCAUGUCAGCAUUGCGUCCGCACACAGCCGCUGAUGAGUAGGUCCCACUCAAUAGCGUCAUCCCCAACCUCGUGUCGUCUUCCCCAAUGCGUCUCGUUGCCGCCGCCUUGUCCCAUCUCCGCCCGUCGCCUAUGCCGUCGUGCCGGCCCCGAAGAAAUAUCUCGCCGCUCCAUCCCAUCAUGGCCCCACCUGUCAUCCCGCACGGUCCUAAAAGAUCUCCGCCGCCCGCUCCACGGACCUCUGUGCACAAUCGACCUCUCGCGGCUAUAAAAGCUGGCGAGCCCCGCCAUCGCUCCCCGCACCUCAAGCUCGAGCUCCCUCCCUCUUCUUCUGCUCGAGCUCGCCUCCUCCCUCUUUAGUCCUCUCCUCCCUCCACCGGAGCACGGCUUCCUCCGAAGCCACGCCUCGCCGAGCCCUGCCCUUCCCUCUUCCUGUCUAGCGCGCCACCGCACAGAACUGCCAGCCAAGCACUAGCGCCGCCACCGUGACAAACUCGAGGAGGACAAAGUGCCGAGCGACGUUGGAUCGGUAACAAGCGGCCCUGAUCUGCCUGAGCUAAUUCGCGUCCCACACCCGAUGACAAGUAGGCCCGAGUCUAACGCCGAAAAUGCCGUCUGUUGGUGACCAGUGGGCACCACAUCAGCAAGCAAGCUCCCAGACAUCACCAUGGCACUGGGAGGGUGCCUCGCAAGCACCACGCGGACACACCCGUAGCAAAUGACACGUCAUCAUGGGUCCACAUGUGAGUUACUGUGUGACACUGUGCGGUCAACAGUCAACACUGACCAGGGACACACCUGGAGUAACUGUGUCGACGGUAAAAUUACUACGCGUACUCAGGUUAGUGUACACGGAAGUCUCGUUUACCCCUUUCCUUGCACAAGCAAGCUCCCAGACAAAUUGUCACUCGCCAUGGCACUGGGAGGGUGCCUCGCAAGCGCCACGCGGACACACCCGUAGCAAAUGACACGUCAUCAUGGGCCCACAUGUGAGUUACUGUGUGACACUGUGCGGUCAAUAGUCAACACUGACCAGGGACACACCUGGAGUAACUGUGUCGACGGUAAAAUUACUACGCGUACUCAGGUUAGUGUACACGGAAGUCUCGUUUACCCCUUUCCUUGCACAGAAAAAUUUCCAAAAAAUUCCUAAAAAUACUAGAGCCACCCUAUAACCCAUCCAAACCUUUUGCACCCCAUUUCCAUCAUACAAAAUUAUGGGAAAAUAAAUUUCACCACUCAGGCACUCAUAAAUUCCAAUAAAUCACAUAAAUUCCCGAUAAAUUCCCAAAAAUCAUCUCUCCUGUCAAACUCCGUUUCUGUCAAUUCUUCCACCAAAAUUCUUCUAAAAUUAAAUCCUUGAUAUCCCUUCCGGUGCCACCAUUAGUUUCUUUGUUUGAUUCUUGAUUUGUUCAUGUAUUGCUCUUCGACCUGUUAGUCACUAACAUCACACAAACCCCUUAUGCUCAUGCAUGCAUAUACACUGUAGCAUGUAUACAACUAUAUGAGUAUACAUACACCCCCCUUCACACACCUACCACCGAUACUUUUUUUAUUUUUGUUUUUGCAAAAAAAAAAUCAAAACUAUUUAGUCCCAGUUGGUAAUACCAACAGGGACUAAAAGGGGCGGGAGGUAGCCACUGGCGCCGUGAUCGUUUUCUUCCGGUUGGUAUUACCAACUGGGACUAAAAGGGGAUAUUAUAUCCCGGUUUUGGGACCCGUGAUAAAAGACCCCCCUAUCUCGACAAGUUAAUCCUAGAUGCAUUUUCGGAAGAUAUGCACCCUACAAACCGGUACUAAUACCGAAUUUUCUAAUAGUGAAUGGUGCCGGUAGGCGUCCCCUUCAGCUGCAUUCUCUUCCAACCUGCAUACAAAGAGUCACUGGAGAUAGCGUGAUACAACCUCGGUUAGUCAGGCGAUCAAAUGAUAUAACCUCGAGUUAAUCUAGGCCGAAGCCAAUUAGCUUCCGUGUUUCUAUCUGAAGCUGGCAGAGUUAGCGCCUUGUCUGGGCGAGCUAAGACCCGGGUUAUAGGCGAAGGGGAUGAGUUUUGGACAGAUCCCCAACAUCUCGAAAAAUUAAUCUCGGUUGGGCAUUGGAGAGUUAUGCUCCUUCCCAACCGGGACUAAUAGUCAGUUUUCUACUACUGGUUGUGUAGAGGUGAGGAGGCGAGGGUUUUAGGUGAGGACGAUGAGGUGGCACCGCUCCCUUUCUCCGAUUCAACUGUCUCUAUAAAAUUGAUAUGGUUAGAUAUGUCAUAUUCUGUGGUACCACCUCGCGAUCACGAUGUGUGUGCCUCUAUAUAUGUUGUGCCAUUGCAGUCCAUUCGAUCGAGGGAGUACCAUAGCGUGACUGAACUACUGAAAAUGAAAAGCCUACACUUCUGCAACAACACAGUCUACCCCUAUGUUUACAACCUGACUUCCUCCUACAUCGACCAGAACAAUGAGGCCACCAUGGUGACCACCACCUUGGUCAUGUUUAUGCUGGCCGUGUUCGUCUUCAACCUCAACCUCUUCAGCCGCUUCUUGGACGUGAGCGCGAUUCUCAACCCUAGCGUCCGCCUCUUCCUCUCCACCUCCCUGUCCCUCUUCCUGCCGGUCAUGU
rnacentral:lncRNA from 1 species